UACGAAGGGGGCUAGCGUUGCUCGGAAUCACUGGGCGUAAAGCGCACGUAGGCGGUCUUUUAAGUCAGGGGUGAAAUCCUGGAGCUCAACUCCAGAACUGCCUUUGAUACUGAAAGACUUGAGUCCGGGAGAGGUGAGUGGAACUGCGAGUGUAGAGGUGAAAUUCGUAGAUAUUCGCAAGAACACCAGUGGCGAAGGCGGCUCACUGGCCCGGUACUGACGCUGAGGUGCGAAAGCGUGGGGAGCAAACAGG
rnacentral:rRNA from 1 species